GGGGGCGUACGGUCUCGACGGCAGGUUGGAGGGCCGCGUGGGUGCGGGCCGAGGUGCCGUAACCUCGUAAAACAGCGGCAACAAAAAUAAGUGCCGACGACACGUUUGCACUCGCUGCUUAAGCAGUAAGCAGCACAUCCUUAGCGCUUCCGCCGCUUGGGCGCCAAGGAUGUCACACAGAGCGGCUCACCUGGCUCCUUAGCGUCUCCUGAGGGCCAGGGACACCUCAAGGGGGCUGGAGGGAGGGGCUCUGUCCCCGAUAGCCUCUCCCUCGAGAUCGCCAUCGGGGACUACGCCCGUAGGGCCCGUGCGGUUGGCCCCUGUCGGACCGGGGUUCGAUUCCCCGCGCCUCCACCA
rfam:Synergistales bacterium 54_24 S_scaffold_409, whole genome shotgun sequence.